rnacentral:rRNA from 1 species
GAUGAACGCUGGCGGCGUGCCUAAUACAUGCAAGUCGAGCGAACGGACGAGAAGCUUGCUUUUCUGAUGUUAGCGGCGGACGGGUGAGUAACACGUGGAUAACCUACCUAUAAGACUGGGAUAACUUCGGGAAACCGGAGCUAAUACCGGAUAAUAUUUUGAACCGCAUGGUUCAAAAGCGAAAGACGGUCUUGCUGUCACUUAUAGAUGGAUCCGCGCUGCAUUAGCUAGUUGGUAAGGUAACGGCUUACCAAGGCAACGAUGCAUAGCCGACCUGAGAGGGUGAUAGGCCACACUGGAACUGAGACACGGUCCAGACUCCUACGGGAGGCAGCAGUAGGGAAUCUUCCGCAAUGGGCGAAAGCCUGACGGGGCAACGCCGCGUGAGUGAUGAAGGUCUUCGGAUCGUAAAACUCUGUUAUUAGGGAAGAACAUAUGUGUAAGUAACUGUGCACAUCUUGACGGUACCUAAUCAGAAAGCCACGGCUAACUACGUG